rnacentral:rRNA from 1 species
GAUGAACGCUGGCGGCGUGCCUAAUACAUGCAAGUCGAGCGAACAGAUGAGGAGCUUGCUCCUCUGACGUUAGCGGCGGACGGGUGAGUAACACGUGGAUAACCUACCUAUAAGACUGGGAUAACUUCGGGAAACCGGAUCUAAUACCGGAUAAUAUAUUGAACCGCAUGGUUCAAUAGUGAAAGACGGUUUUGCUGUCACUUAUAUAUGUAUCCGCGCCGCAUUAGCUAGUUGGUAAGGUAACGGCUUACCAAGGCAACGAUGCGUAGCCGACCUGAGAGGGUGAUCGGCCACACUGGAACUGAGACACGGUCCAGACUCCUACGGGAGGCAGCAGUAGGGAAUCUUCCGCAAUGGGCGAAAGCCUGACGGAGCAACGCCGCGUGAGUGAUGAAGGUCUUCGGAUCGUAAAACUCUGUUAUUAGGGAAGAACAAAUGUGUAAGUAACUAUGCACGUCUUGACGGUACCUAAUCAGAAAGCCACGGCUAACUACGUG